GCUUGCCGACAGGUAAACCGCCGCUGUACUUAGAUGAGUUGAGAUUUACACAUCAAUGCCAGCUCACAAAGCAUCUAAUACGGCAAUCAGCCAGCCACCUCCGCAGAU
rnacentral:lncRNA from 1 species